UACGGGGGGGGCAAGCGUUGUUCGGAAUUACUGGGCGUAAAGGGCUCGUAGGUGGCCAACUAAGUCGGACGUGAAAUCCCUCGGCUUAACCGGGGAACUGCGUCCGAUACUGGUUGGCUUGAGUUUGGGAGAGGGAUGCGGAAUUCCAGGUGUAGCGGUGAAAUGCGUAGAUAUCAGGAAGAACACCAAUGGCGAAGGCAGCUCUCUGGGACGGUACUGACGCUGAGACGCGAAAGCGUGGGGAGCGAACAGG
rnacentral:rRNA from 1 species